rnacentral:rRNA from 1 species
UUAACAAAAACAUGUCUUUUUGAAUUUAAAUAUAAAGUCUAAUCUGCCCACUGAUAAAUUAUUUAAUGGCCGCAGUAUUUUAACUGUGCAAAGGUAGCAUAAUAAUUAGUUUUUUAAUUGAAAGCUUGUAUGAAUGAUUGGACGAGAUAUAAACUGUCUCAUAAAAAUUUUUUUAGAAUUUAAUUUUUUAGUAAAAAAGCUAAAAUAAAUUUAAAAGACGAGAAGACCCCAUAGAUCUUUAUAUUUUUUUUAUAAUAAUUUUUUAGAUUUUUUUAUAAAUUAAUAAAUAAAAGUAUUUUGUUGGGGUGACAUUAAAAUUUAAUAAACUUUUAAAAUUUGAAGACAUUAAUUUAUGAAUUUAUGAUCCUUUAUUAUUGAUUAAAAAUUUAAGUUACCUUGGGGAUAACAGCGUAAUUAUUUUGGAGAGUUCAUAUCGAUAAAAUAGAUUGCGACCUCGAUGUUGGAUUAAGAUUAAUUUUGGGUGUAGAAGUUCAAAAUAUUAAGUCUGUUCGACUUUUAAUUUCUUACGUGAUCUG